rnacentral:rRNA from 1 species
UUCGGAUUGGGGUCUGCAACUCGACCCCAUGAAGUCGGAGUCGCUAGUAAUCGCAGAUCAGCAACGCUGCGGUGAAUACGUUCCCGGGCCUUGUACACACCGCCCGUCAAGUCACGAAAGUCGGUAACACCCGAAGCCGGUGGCCCAACCCUUGUGGAGGGAGCCGUCGAAGGUGGGACUGGCGAUUGGGACUAAGUCGUAACAAGGUAGCCGUACCGGAAGGUGCGGCUGGAUCACCUCCUUUCUAAGGAGCACU